UGAACUGGACUGGCGGCCUGAACAAUCGCAAAGUCUAACGGAUACGAUGGAGUAGUAAGUCUUGCUGAUCUUUUGCUUGUACAGAGUCGGCUGGACGAGNGUGAGUAAUGCUUGAGGAACAUAGCCGUUGACGUCGGGGGACAACACGUUGCGACAUACAGUACUGCUAAUACCUGGCGAUAAUGUCUACGGGAUCCAAAUGCGCGCGCCUUCNGGUCCUCUCGCCCUUAUAACAUUGGUCCUCACAUGAUGAGAGACUUCAGCUUACCUCGGUGCAUGUGUAAUUGUGCCUCACCUAAGGGCGAUCGAAGUCUCCAUACCCUGCGUGUGUUGAAGAUAGCAUGACUCAGCGCAUCACUGGCGUACACUGAUGAAACAUCGGCCCAGAGCUCCUACGGGACGGGCAGACAGCAUGGUGAAUUAAUUGCACCAAUUGCGGCGCAAANCCAUGCAUGACACCUCACAUGCCCGACGCAUGAUGAUGAAAGAACGGACCUUCAGGNUGUGUAAUAGGCACUUUCAGGUCAGCGUACGUGAAUAGGUUGAUGUCAUGUUAUAGGUACCGUGCGUACGCUGUCGACCGGUUACUGACAGAAGAAAGCACCGGCUAACUCCGUGCCAGCAGCCGCGGUAAUACGGAGGGUCGCGAGCGUUAAUCGGAAUUACUGGGCGUAAAGCGUACGCAGGCGGUUUGUUAAGCGAGAUGUGAAAGCCCUGGGCUCAACCUGGGAACUGCAUUUCGAACUGGCAAAACUAGAGUGUGAUAAGAGGGUGGUAAGAAUUCUCAGGUGUACAGCGGUGAAAUGCCGUAGAGAUCUGAAGGAAUACCGAUGGCCGAAGGACGCCACCUGGGUNCAACACUGACGGCUCAUNUCCAAAGCUGGGGAGCCAACGGGAUUANAUAC
rnacentral:rRNA from 1 species